GGAACGUGUCAGAAUGAAAAUUCUAAGGCCCUACCCGACCGAGAUCUAUUCCACUAAGUCUACAGGUCAUCGUUCCAAGUGGAAGAACGCGUCCACUAGGAGACAGAGCGAUGACUACUGAGCGGCAUGCGUGAACACUAUUGGAUACUGUGGGUUCCUCACACUCCUGAGUUAUAGGCAAGAGAAGAGCGCCUGUGUUGGCUGCAAUGACUGAUCCUGUCCCAAGGGGAAAUGACGCUACCACUACAACAGAGGUGUGACUGAGCAUGUCUUGAAUACAGACAACCCUUCAGUGUAUCCUUUAGUCCUGCCACUCACUGUGAUUACACUCAAUGGAGAACUACAAUGGUCUAAAGCACACAAGACUUCUGAUGACCCAGACCCUUAGGAAUGAAGGGUGGCUAACUCCCCAGGUAAAUACCCACUGUCAGCUGAGGUGCUGAAGGCAAAGGGAAUACAGAAUGUGUGGUGAAUGAAGGGAGUUAUAAAUAGUAGUUUAUAACUACAUAACUUCUUUUCCAUCUUCUUUUCCUCCAUUGGACAUUCCUUCAUUUACAUUUCAAAUGUUAUCCCCUUUCCCCAGUUCCCUGUCCAUAAACCUGCUAUCCCAUUCCCCCUCCCCCUUCCUCUAUGAGGGUGUUCCUCCUCCCAUCCACUCACCCCUUCCCACCUCCAUGCCCUCUGACAUCCCCUACACUGGGGGUGGGGGAGGUCCAGCCUUGGCAGGACCAAGGGCUUCUCCUUCCACUGGUGCCCAACAAGGUCAUCCUCUGCUACAUAUGCAGUUGGAGCCGUGGGUCUGUCCAUGUGUACUCUUUGGCAUAACUUCUUACAGAAAUAAGAAUUUCUUCCAUAUUUGUUUGCAAAUGUAUUUUUCCUUUUUAUCACCUUUUUCAUAAAUAUAAGAUACUUUCACUGUGUCAUACAGUUAAU
rnacentral:lncRNA from 1 species